rnacentral:rRNA from 1 species
UACGUAGGGUGCAAGCGUUGUCCGGAAUUAUUGGGCGUAAAGAGCUCGUAGGCGGUCUGUCGCGUCGGCUGUGAAAUCCCGAGGCUCAACCUCGGGUCUGCAGUCGAUACGGGCAAACUAGAGUAUUGCAGGGGAGACUGGAAUUCCUGGUGUAGCGGUGAAAUGCGCGGAUAUCAGGAGGAACACCGGUGGCGAAGGCGGGUCUCUGGGCAAUAACUGACGCUGAGGAGCGAAAGCGUGGGGAGCGAACAGG